GAAUGAUCCGGUGAAGUGU
rnacentral:siRNA from 1 species